rnacentral:rRNA from 1 species
AUGAAGGAUUUCAACAAGUAUCACUUUAUCGAGGAACCUUCUGAUGCUAAGGAGAAAAAAGCUUUCCGAAAGCUUGUGAAGCAAAAAAGGAGGAUGCUUGAUGAGCUGCAGGACCGGGAAUAUGCUUGCAGACAUGCUUUGGCAAUUGAGAUUGCGUUCACUGCAAGCAAAGAAGAAUUCUGUGAGAUGGACUUGAGGAAACCCGGACAGGUCAUAGGAUGGCAAUCAAACAAGGCGUGUCAGAGAAUCCCGCCCGCCGUGCUGCAUGGGCCUGGUUCCGUGAAGCGAAUAGUGUGUUGGGUCAUUGGGCAGGAUCCAUCGACUUUCAACUGA